rnacentral:rRNA from 1 species
UGGGGAAUAUUGCACAAUGGGCGCAAGCCUGAUGCAGCCAUGCCGCAUGUGUGAAGAAGGCCUUCGGGUUGUAAAGCACUUUCAGCGAGGAGGAAGGUGGUGAACUUAAUACGUUCAUCAAUUGACGUUACUCGCAGAAGAAGCACCGGCUAACUCCGUGCCAGCAGCCGCGGUAAUACGGAGGGUGCAAGCGUUAAUCGGAAUUACUGGGCGUAAAGCGCACGCAGGCGGUUUGUUAAGUCAGAUGUGAAAUCCCCGGGCUCAACCUGGGAACUGCAUUUGAAACUGGCAAGCUAGAGUCUCGUAGAGGGGGGUAGAAUUCCAGGUGUAGCGGUGAAAUGCGUAGAGAUCUGGAGGAAUACCGGUGGCGAAGGCGGCCCCCUGGACGAAGACUGACGCUCAGGUGCGAAAGCGUGGGGAGCAAACAGAUUAGAUACCCUGGUAGUCCACGCUGUAAACGAUGUCGAUUUUGGAGGUUGUGCCCCUUGAGGCGUGGNUUCCGGAGCUAACGCGUUAAAUCGACCGCC